CAGGUCCGUCCGCCCACAGUUCAGCAUCCGGAAGCCCAGGUCCUGCUUGAACUUGGCUUCAAUGGCCACUGCAUCCAGCUUCCGAGAGGCACAAAAGCAGUCGUCGGCCCUAAGGAAGGGAGAGACGGUCAGGGCCCGAAGCACACAGUAUUAACCGACAGGCGAGCCACACAUGACUCAGCAUCACCUGUUUAUCAAGAAUCCCUCGGCCAGACAAAGUUAGCGACGGUUCUGGUUAUUGAAUUUUACCAACCAAGGCAGCAAGCAGAUGAAAGCUGCAUUCGUGUAAACAUGACUCAAAGCUCCAUUUCUGGAAGGUCUGGGAGGUCUCUGAAGGAUCUGCCACUGAAGACCAACAGGACCCCCUGCGGCCUGGACAAACAGCACGCC